rnacentral:rRNA from 1 species
GACGAACGCUGGCGGCGUGCUUAACACAUGCAAGUCGAACGGAAAGGCCCUGCUUUUGUGGGGUGCUCGAGUGGCGAACGGGUGAGUAACACGUGAGUAACCUGCCCUUGACUUUGGGAUAACUUCAGGAAACUGGGGCUAAUACCGGAUAGGAUCUCCUGCUGCAUGGUGGGGGUUGGAAAGUUUCGGCGGUUGGGGAUGGACUCGCGGGUUAUCAGCUUGUUGGUGGGGUAGUGGCUUACCAAGGCUUUGACGGGUAGCCGGCCUGAGAGGGUGACCGGCAACAUUGGGACUGAGAUACGGCCCAGAAUCCUACGGGAGGCAGCAGUGGGGAAUAUUGCGCAAUGGGCGGAAGCCUGAUGCAGCAACGCCGCGUGCGGGAUGACGGCCUUCGGGUUGUAAACCGCUUUCGCCUGUGACGAAGCGUGAGUGACGGUAAUGGGUAAAGAAGCACCGGCUAACUACGUG